rnacentral:rRNA from 1 species
GGAGUCUGGGCCGUAUCUCAGUCCCAAAUCGCCCGAAAGCUUUAAUCCGAAGAUCACAUGCGGUAUUAGCACACCUUUCGGUGCGUUAUCCCUCAAUUUAGGGUCCGUUCCCACGCGUUACUCAGCCGUCCGCCGCUCGUCAGCAGCUUCACUGUUCCCUCGAAUCGAACCAACCUACGAUACUAGCGCUAGGUGUGUCAAGGAAACGGUGAAGCCCUGUUACCGCUCGACUUGCAUGUAUUAGGCACGCCGCCAGCAUUCAUC